rnacentral:rRNA from 1 species
UACGGGGGGAGCAAGCGUUGUUCGGAUUUACUGGGCGUAAAGGGCGCGUAGGCGGCCACUGCAAAUCGGUUGUGAAAUCUCCGGGCUUAACCCGGAAAGGUCAACCGAUACUGCAGGGCUAGAGUGCAGAAGGGGCAACUGGAAUUCUCGGUGUAGCGGUGAAAUGCGUAGAUAUCGAGAGGAACACCUGCGGCGAAGGCGGGUUGCUGGGCUGACACUGACGCUGAAGCGCGAAAGCUAGGGGAGCGAACGGG